CUUGACGGCACCCAGCCACAGCGGCUGCCCCUCCGGCCGCCCCUGGCCGUAGGUGGCCAGCAGGGCCUGCGCCUC
rnacentral:antisense_RNA from 1 species